rnacentral:rRNA from 1 species
UACGGGGGGGGCAAGCGUUGUUCGGAAUUACUGGGCGUAAAGGGCUCGUAGGCGGCCAACUAAGUCGGAUGUGAAAUCCCCAGGCUUAACCUGGGAACUGCAUCCGAUACUGGAUGGCUUGAAUCCGGGAGAGGGAUGCGGAAUUCCAGGUGUAGCGGUGAAAUGCGUAGAUAUCUGGAGGAACACCGGUGGCGAAGGCGGCGAU